rnacentral:rRNA from 1 species
UACGUAGGCAGCAAGCGUUUGUUCGGAGUUACUGGGCGUAAAGAGUGCGUAGGCGGUCUUUUAAGUUUGGUGUGAAAUCUCCCGGCUCAACUGGGAGGGUGCGCCGAAAACUGGGAGGCUUGAGGAUGGGAGAGGCAUGCGGAAUUCCUGGUGUAGCGGUGAAAUGCGUAGAUAUCGAGAGGAACACCAGUGGCGAAAAGCGGCUACCUGGCCCCAUUCUUGACGCUGAGGCGCGAAAGCUAGGGGAGCAAACGGG